CACUGACAUUAGAUACCCCCGUAGUCCCAGCCGUAAACGAUGCGCGUUAGGUGUAUCGACGACCACGAGUCGUCGAGGUGCCGAAGGGAAACCGUGAAACGUGCCGCCUGGGAAGUACGGUCGCAAGGCUGAAACUUAAAGGAAUUGGCGGGGGAGCACCACAACAGGUGGAGCCUGCGGUUUAAUUGGACUCAACGCCGGAAAUCUCACCGGAUAAGACAGCAGAAUGAUUGCCGGGCUGAAGACUCUGCAUGACUAGCUG
rnacentral:rRNA from 1 species